rnacentral:rRNA from 1 species
AUUGAACGCUGGCGGCAGGCCUAACACAUGCAAGUCGAGCGGAUGAAGGGAGCUUGCUCCUGGAUUCAGCGGCGGACGGGUGAGUAAUGCCUAUGAAUCUGCCUCGUAGUGGGGGAUAACGUCCGGAAACGGGCGCUAAUACCGCAUACGUCCUGAGGGAGAAAGUGGGGGAUCUUCGGACCUCACGCUAUCAGAUGAGCCUAGGUCGGAUUAGCUAGUUGGUGGGGUAAAGGCCUACCAAGGCGACGAUCCGUAACUGGUCUGAGAGGAUGAUCAGUCACACUGGAACUGAGACACGGUCCAGACUCCUACGGGAGGCAGCAGUGGGGAAUAUUGGACAAUGGGCGAAAGCCUGAUCCAGCCAUGCCGCGUGUGUGAAGAAGGUCUUCGGAUUGUAAAGCACUUUAAGUUGGGAGGAAGGGCAGUAAGUUAAUACCUUGCUGUUUUGACGUUACCAACAGAAUAAGCACCGGCUAACUUCGUG